GAUCAUGGCUCAGAACGAACGCUGGCGGCAGGCCUAACACAUGCAAGUCGAGCGCACCUUCGGGUGAGCGGCGGACGGGUGAGUAUCGCGUGGGAACGUGCCCUUCUCUACGGAAUAGUCCUGGGAAACUGGGGGUAAUACCGUAUACGCCCUUUGGGGGAAAGAUUUAUCGGAGAAGGAUCGGCCCGCGUUGGAUUAGGUAGUUGGUGGGGUAAUGGCUCACCAAGCCGACGAUCCAUAGCUGGUUUGAGAGG
rnacentral:rRNA from 1 species